ensembl:snoRNA
GUUGGAUGCAAAACACCCCUGGCUUUGCCGGUGGCCACGGAUGAGAUUCAGUGCCCAGAGCUUCUGGGGGCCUCAGCUCACCAUGCACUGCCCCCGUGUGCAGUGAAACCUGACAGGCGCUGUGUAAA